rnacentral:rRNA from 1 species
UGGGGAAUAUUGCACAAUGGGCGCAAGCCUGAUGCAGCAACGCCGCGUGAGGGAUGACGGCCUUCGGGUUGUAAACCUCUUUUAGCAGGGAAGAAGCGAAAGUGACGGUACCUGCAGAAAAAGCACCGGCUAACUACGUGCCAGCAGCCGCGGUAAUACGUAGGGUGCAAGCGUUGUCCGGAAUUAUUGGGCGUAAAGAGCUCGUAGGCGGUCUGUCGCGUCUGCUGUGAAAUCCCGAGGCUCAACCUCGGGCCUGCAGUGGGUACGGGCAGACUAGAGUGCGGUAGGGGAGAAUGGAACUCCUGGUGUAGCGGUGGAAUGCGCAGAUAUCAGGAAGAACACCGAUGGCGAAGGCAGUUCUCUGGGCCGUAACUGACGCUGAGGAGCGAAAGCGUGGGGAGCGAACAGGAUUAGAUACCCUGGUAGUCCACGCCGUAAACGUUGGGCGCUAGAUGUGGGGCACCAUUCCACGGUUUCCGUGUC